UAGACAUUAGACAUGGUGACAGUGAUAAA
rnacentral:piRNA from 1 species